ensembl:lincRNA Gm42637 predicted gene 42637
AGCAGGCAGCAUGAGUGUGUCCAUUUCCUCUCUGCUCCUGACUGUGGAUGCGAUGUGACUCACUACCGGAGUUCCUGUCAGGAAUGGUGACCUCAAACUUUCAACAGGAACGCUGAGUAAGCAGCAGAUGGAGAACAGCGAGCUGUCUUCUGUCUCUGGUCUGUGUUAGCAUUAUAUCUACACCGAGCCGGGCAGUGUGUUUGUUUGGGGAGAGACACGAGACACCCUCCCCCACCAAGGACUGGUCCUGCUCAUCUGCCAAGAACCACAAGGUUUUCUCUGGCUCUCUCCAUCCACCCGCUCCUGUCAGAGCAUUCUUCCCCUGGGAGAUCAAGGACCUGCCAAGGAAGACCAUGCAUGGAAGCCAACUUUACAUGGGAGGAAAUGCAGCCCGACACAUCCGAAAAAAAGCUAACUCCCAUGAGUACCUGGAUCCAGCGCUACCCGAGGCUAGCCGUUCCUUCCUAUCCUCCGAUUCUGAGAAAAUAAUCUUCUGGCCGUGCAUAGAGUGGGGAACCCAUGCUCCUACCUGGUCCCCUAACCCCUCCUGUUGUGAUAGCCCAACCCAGGACUUAGUACGAACAGUUCUCUGUAGACAGUGAGCCAUCUGGCUCGCUGGUUCUCCUUCAUCCCCACUGGUCCCCCACCUGCCAGCUGUGCUAUUGGCCACUCCGUGGUGAUGUAUAUUUAACAAGGGCUCAGAAUCAAAUUAAUUCAGAUUAGUUAAUAAACGGCAACCUCCAUCUUCCUCUCGGGCAAGCUAAA